UAUUGGAAUAAGGGCUAAAUUGCUUUCCGACUUAAAUUCAACCGCAUAUUGGUUGACCGUGUCGCGUUAAUGUGUUACAUGAAGUUAGAAUUCAACGCCAGGGACUCCGUGAUCGAGUAACGCAACUUCAACUUUUGCGAAAAGCAUGAACAUUCAAACAGAGCCCCAUUUCACCGACAUGGAAUGGCAGGCAUUUUUACAGUAUGGACAGUGCAGCAGAUGCUUAACUGAGCCAGCCUUCAUAUUUAGUACAAUCAUGAAUUGAGCAAGAUUUUAUCACUUUAUAUUAUUCAUAAAAGUACACUUAAAAUACAUAAAUGCAUGUUUUUGUUUCAUUUUUUUAUCUUUUUCUAUUGGGUAUUUUGACUUUUUCAGGAAGAGGAAUGUCUGCGACUAAGUCAAGGGCCACUGGAUAAGGGUUGUUGAUGGCAAAACAGGAAGAGGAAUGUCUGCGACUAAGUCAAGGGCCACUGGAUAAGGGUUGUUGAUGGCAAAACAGGUUGGAGACUACAUAAGACUUUGACAGUUGGCGGGAAACCAUCAUCAACUGGAGAGAUGCCGGUAAAAAGAUGGCCAUAAAACAGUGACCGCUGAUUCGCAUUGAGUUCUUUCUUACAUAUUGGAUGACCUAUGUUUUUUAUUGUUUAAAUCAUUGCGGCUUGGAAUGCUCUUUAAGAAAAGGUAUGGUUAUGGGGGUGUCUACGCGCAAAAGUUUGACUUUAUUUUUUGUUAAAGUUAUUGCUUUUACAUUGAAUUUGUGCAGGAAAUCUUUUGGUAUGUUGUGACC